AGAGUUUGAUCCUGGCUCAGGAUGAACGCUAGCGGCAGGCCUAACACAUGCAAGUCGAGGGGUAACAGUCCCGCUUUCGGGCGGGAGCUGACGACCGGCGCACGGGUGCGUAACGCGUAUACAAUCUACCUUGUACUAGGGAAUAGCCCAGAGAAAUUUGGAUUAAUGCUCUAUGGUCUAUUAAUGUGGCAUCACAUAAAUAGUAAAGGUUACGGUACAAGAUGAGUAUGCGUCCUAUUAGUUAGUUGGUGUGGUAACGGCACACCAAGGCUACGAUAGGUAGGGGCCCUGAGAGGGGGACCCCCCACACUGGUACUGAGACACGGACCAGACUCCUACGGGAGGCAGCAGUGAGGAAUAUUGGACAAUGGAGGCAACUCUGAUCCAGCCAUGCCGCGUGCAGGAAGACUGCCCUAUGGGUUGUAAACUGCUUUUAUACAGGAAGAAACGCUCCCUCGAGCAGGGAGUUUGACGGUACUGUAAGAAUAAGGAUCGGCUAACUCCGUGCCAGCAGCCGCGGUAAUACGGAGGAUCCAAGCGUUAUCCGGAAUCAUUGGGUUUAAAGGGUCCGUAGGCGGGCAAUUAAGUCAGG
rnacentral:rRNA from 1 species